rnacentral:tRNA from 1 species
GCCGCGGCAGCUCAGCCUGGGAGAGCGCCGGACUGAAGAGAUCCCGCGGGUAUUCCGCGGGAUCGCCGCCAUCCGGUGGGCCCGGGUUCAAAUCCCGGCCGCGGCA